UUAAGAUGGAUCAGCUACCUGUCCUCAAAAAUGUUUCCCAUCCUUGAAUUUCUCCACACCCUUUUGUUAAAAUUACUCAUCUGAGUGAGAAGGAAACGUUCAGUUACGCGAUUAAUCUUUAAACCUUUAAGAAAAGACAUGAGAUUGUAACUAGCCUUCUCAUCCCAUUUUUUUUCUACGCAUGAAUUAUAGUUCCUGUUCAAAGGGGUCAGUGAUAUUAGGCAGUAUAUUUAAACCUACUACUUCAGCUGCUCCUCAUGUGCCUGUGUGACCUGUACUAGAUGUAUCACAGUUAAUCGGUCAGAUGUCCUUGUAUUUGAAUUCCCAUGGGAUGACGUGUCACCUUCACACGUGCAUGCUGCAGUGAAACGGAGAGAGGAGAGAAGAGAGAGGAUGUGUUACGAGGAGACGGGGAGAAGCCAGACGAGGUUAUGUCUUACCAUCCCUCUCUGGCUACUGGAAGGAAGCCAGAGCCAUUAGCCUGCUGUCAGUCGGAGAGAGGAGGAGGAUCUGUCGUGUUAGCUGACGCAAAAUGAACAGCACCGCUUGGUCACACGAUGCACAAUACCGGAGGACCUCAGGGGCUGGAAGGUGAUGUAGAAGACAAAGACGGAGUGUUUGUUUUCGUACGCAUGGACACAAAGCCAAAGGACCUGACACAUACAUACAGUCGGCAGCACUGCACCGGUGCAGCAGUAGCCUGAUUCAUAACUGAUGAAUAUUUACAGCUGACCAGGCCGUGUCUGAAACUGAACUGACUCACUGGGGAACCGAGGUGUCGAACCACUUGUGGUCGAAAGUUGUAAAUCGUUCCCUCAUUGCGGGCAGCUGUCAAAGUGAAGGGUCUGCACUCCGUGUACGCGUUGACAUGCGUGACUGUGUGCGGAGGAAUUUACAUUUACGUACAUAUAUUUAUGUGUAUAUAUGUACAGGUCUGUGGCUCUGGGAACGUGUGAAGUGAUGGAAACCUGAAAGGUAAUCCAGUAUAAGCAGCUGCUCACCUUUUCUCGUAUAUAUCAGUAAAACAACUGCUUCCCAUAUCUUUGCUCCAGGAAAGACGCCAGCUUAGUAUAACUUAAAAGGAAACAUAUUCAUUUCUUUUCUGCAAAUGGUUUAGUAAUAUGAGGCUUUUACAGUCAAUACAUUUUCUGUAAUUACCGCUGUAAAUCUGAA